UCCCUGGUGGCUCAGCUGGUAAAGAAAUCUGCCUGCAAUGCAGGAGAUCCAAGUUUGAUCCCUGGCUUGGGAA
rnacentral:tRNA from 1 species